GAAUGAUCCAAUUGCUUUAUAUUAGUUUUCUGGAAUAAUAUUAAAUUGUUACAAAAGUUAUUAAAACGUUUACCGACCCUUUCAAUUUUACAUCUCAAUCGCACGUGAAUUAUCAAGGGACGAAUAAUAGUCGCAAUAAGAUAAUAAUAUAAUUAUUAUUAUUGCACGUACACAUGAGACUUACAAAUAUUUCAAGACCAUCUUACAAUUUAUUUUAUCAUACACAUAUUAUAUACGCACGUUUUCAUAAAAUCCACAGCAGCUUCGUUUCACAGAUGACCGCAUUAUGAUGUUCAGUAAUCAUAUGAUUUCAUCUUCCAUGGCUUCAUGGCAGAAUAUUCUUCAUGAAAAAUAUCAAACAAUUCGUCAAUCUUAACGUAAUACAACAAUUUGUACGUCAACUAGUCU